AGGCAUAGAACAUAUAACUGGUUAUAGUCAAUUUUCAACUAUCACUUUGGUCAUGUACUCUUGAUGAAAACUCUUCUUUAGAUGCGCAGCCGGAUGUGAAACGGAAUUGAACGCACUACGCCGACUGGGAAAACCAUUAAAAGACCUCCACAUUGCAGACGUUGGUUGUGGCACAGGCAGCUACGCAAAGUAUUUCCUGGAUAAUGGCGUUGGCAAGGUGUCCAUGUUUGAUGCGAGCGAGGGAAUGCUGAGCUACGCUAGAACCAAGGUUGCCGACUACGUCGUGGCUGGACGCGUGCCGCACUGCGAACAACUAGUGCUUCCAUGCCCUAUACCGGGAGGUGAACAACAUUACGACGCCAUCUGCGUGAAUUUCGUUCUGCAUCACCUGGGUUCUCCUGAUGACAACAUCGAUACGUUGACGUUUCCUAAAGCCACGGGAGCGUUACGCAACAUCUACGAUGCCUUGAGAAAAGGUGGCCUGUUCCUUAUGAUCACUUGCUUGCGACAACAACUAACACAUUGCCUGUGGCACUUUGGCCUUAUAGAGAAGGUUGAUGAUCUGUUUAAGGAGCCAAUACUACAACUAAUGUGUGGAGAUUACAAUUCUAUAGAGAAAAUACUGAUGGAAGUCGGUUUCCCAGCGAUGCAGGCAACGGUCCCUCUUCAUGAAAUUAUAAUGAAACCACAGCACUAUUACAAUGUCGACACUGCAUCUGACCCAAAAUUCAUACUUGCGGUUUCUGCAUUUGCACUGUUGAAAAAACGAGACAAAGAGAUGGGUACAAAUUACAUGGAGACAUAUUUCCAAAGGCUGCAUGACUUGAAAGAGAGCAACAAACUUGAGGCAUUAAUAGACGAGAAAGAAGGAAUGAGAAAAACAUAUGGUUGCCUGACUGUCAUUGCUGUACAAAAGCCUUCAAAAUACACGUAAAAAAUGAUUGCCAUCUUAUAUAUAUGCCUAUAUUAUGCUACACAGAAAGCACUGUGCAAUUAAUGGAUUUUUUGUUGUUUUGCACAAUUUAUAGAUUGCUCGAGUCUUAACUGGUUACUGACCGUAAUUACCUAGAAUAAUUGGUAGGAUACACAUACUGCAAAGCCUAAGUUCUAGGGUUGUAAUCAUACUGUGCAUUGGGCUUCAUGACAGGUAAACAUUGACUAAAUAAUACAGCUGAAUAAAUUACCUAAGCACAGUAUAAAUUAAAUUGAAUUAAAAGAAAAUUAGUUAAAACUUCUAGCGCUGUUUACAUGUACACUAGAGAAUGUUACACUUUCCGAAUUUAACGCAAUAUGGACUAGAACCAA
rnacentral:misc_RNA from 1 species